rnacentral:rRNA from 1 species
UACGUAGGUGGCAAGCGUUAUCCGGAAUUAUUGGGCGUAAAGAGCGCGCAGGUGGUUGAUUAAGUCUGAUGUGAAAGCCCACGGCUUAACCGUGGAGGGUCAUUGGAAACUGAUCGACUUGAGUGCAGAAGAGGGAAGUGGAAUUCCAUGUGUAGCGGUGAAAUGCGUAGAGAUAUGGAGGAACACCAGUGGCGAAGGCGGCUUCCUGGUCUGUAACUGACACUGAGGCGCGAAAGCGUGGGGAGCAAACAGGAUUAGA